UCAAUUAGUAAAAAAUUAUUUAAUUUUUUAUUUAUUUGUGUGAGAUCCAACAACUCGGAAGAGAACUUGAAAAACUGUGCGUCUCACACACAUAAAAUUAAAAUAAAUUGAGUAAAGGAGUGUAUCAUAAUUAACUAACAAGGACUAUCAAUCAUAAAAAGAUUCGAUAUUACGAUAUUAUAAAUACGAUAUUAUUUACUUUAUUUUCGUAAUAAAGUACGAAAACUUAAUUAUCUUCGAAUAUUUUUCAGAAAUGGCAAGACCGCAAAAUAUACUAUUAAUAUUGAGCGCCGUAUGUCUACUGAAGCAUGCUUGGACGGCCAGUGUCGGAGACACUUGCAAAAUAGAGUCUACACCCGGUAUUUGUAAAAGAGCAUCUGACUGUCUUUAGUUAAACGAGUACAUUAAACGUGGAGAUAUAGAACUAGAAGGCAUUCAGUGCGGCGUUGCGACAUUUGAAAAUCUUAUCUGCUGCCCAACUACAUCAUUUUCGAAAGCAUGGAUUUUAAAGAGUUUCUUAUUUUAGACUUCAGCCUGGUCUGGUCUGGUCAGUAACAGAAAAAUCAAUUAAGGAACGACCUGCUGAGAAAGCUUGUCAUUUAC